CAAGGUGAAAAAUCCAGAAAGCCUUUCCUAAACGGCGGAAAUGCACGAAUAAAUAAUAAAUAGGCUAAAUGAAUGAGUAACUAUUAAGAAAAUAGUACGAUUUACUCGGUUCUGUGCUAUUCAUAACGUACCAUGAAGUGAGUUGUGUUAUUGUUUCUUAGCACACAGGCAAGCCUUUACAAAGCAAAUUGCUUUUGUGUGAUUGUUAUAAAUGCCUGUGACCAGGUGGCCGUUCCUUUUCCAUUAAUCACAUGGAGCAUCCAGAAGAUGGAGCUAUGUCAACGCAGAAAGCAAAAUAACCGAACACAUUUAACAUAAAACACUGAACGUAAGAAGUCAAACCAGUUGAUGCGCAAAAUGUAUUUCUGUAAACUCAGUCUUAACUUAUGGUUAAUGGAGCGGGCCGAUUCGUUUCGCGGUGGAUCCGUAAACAUUGGAAAUUCGUGAAAAUCCAUACAAAUUUUGAAUGUAAAUAUUCCGUUUUCUGUAUCCGACUCUUUAAGCUGUGGAGUGGAACAGCGUGGUGAUUCUUAUAUGAAAAAACAUAUAUUGCAUCUAAACAAUGGAAAUAUUUUAUUGAAUUAAUUUUUCUUUCUAAAUAAAUGUCAAAGAAUGCAAUGGCAUCCCUGAGUGAAAGCAUGAGGUGAUGAGUUGUAGCCUACACCCUGGCCGUGGCUCGUCCUCCAUUUUUCUUAGAGGUCCUGUUUACUCAAAACUUUUCAGUCCAUGCCCACCGGUGUACCCGUACCAUCAGUUUCUUCGAAUAGUUAGUUUCUGGAUUACAAAUUAUACAUUCCAAUUUUAUUAAUUUAAUAUAUUUAUUCAAAACAUAUGCUCAAAUGGAAAAUUUUAAAAGGAAAAAUCAGUUAAUUCAUUAAAAACUACUGGUAAAUUAACUACUGGUAAAUUCUUCCCAUCAAUUACUCAAACGGGACUUUACAUUGUAUGGUCGGGUCCACAAACCUGAAUCUAUACAAAUAAUUUGAGAACCGGACAUUGCGGUCGGGAACCGGACGUCUGGUAGCCCUAGCGUUAACGGUCUGUACUGGCACUUCACUUGAGGUGGAAAUUGUUGCAGAAUACGUCAAUUGCCGAAAACGCAAUUAGCCUCAGUAAAUAAGUCAAAUAUAGGCUACUUCAGUCAGCUCGUAUCAACUGUAUGCCAUGAAAUGUCAAAAUCUACAAUCUUCUUAUCUGUGAUCUAAUCUAACUAGAAUCUGAUCAUUCAUAUAGCCAAUCAUAGAUCUGUAUAAUUCAUGCUGCAGGCAUUGUGUAGACAACAGACACUGAAUUCUAUACCUGAAUUAUAUAGAAUAUAGCUGGUGUAAAAAAAGCCAUCACAAGGCAAUUGUGAUUGCAGAAGCUAUCCUCAUUAUGACAUAACAGAACCACUGAAAAUAAAUUGGCCUGGAGUAUUUAAAUUGUGCCAUUCCAGCUUGUUCAGCAUAGGUAUGGUAGUACCUUUUCGCAUGUGUAUUAAAAUCGAUAGCUCCGUCAUGAUGAACAGACAAGGGAUGAUCGUGGAACCUGAUACUUUUACAUCUUGCAAGCCCCAUGACUUUAGGGUGAAGGCGCUGGAGGAGAUCUGGAGGGAGGUCAAAGUUUGCAGGUCAAAGGCCAAGAGGCUGCUUUACUCUCUAACACAAGAGGUCUGAAGAAGUGUCAUCAAAAAGCCAUCAAGUGAGACCCAAACUGGUAGGGCCGGAGGUGGUGAAGCCGGUCACUAUUGUGAAAAGGGUUCUUCAAACCAAGACACAGAAGACCCAACUUCAGGAAGAGGCCGGCAAACUUGAAACACUGGUUCUACCUACACCUCAGCAAAGAAGCCCUCAAGUGAUUCUUCCUCAGUAGCCCCCAGUAGUCUUGCUGCACCUAAAAUCUCACCGGCCCAACAGGUCCCAUGAGGUAACACUAGCCAAAGUGUGAGAGACAUGGAGCCACAACUGACCGUGAACCUUUCAGUUUUGCUUCAGGUUUUCUGGUUGUAGACUUCCCUGUAACCAUGCGGUUCCAGUUCAGACCAAAGAUCUGUGAUGCGACAUUUCGAACGUUGCAGUGAGGAGUUGCAGCAGUGUGAACUACCCAUCUCCGAGUGUCUGACGUCCCUGCUUGCAGUCACAGGUGACUCAACGCAUCUAAUUGUAGGCGGCGAGUUUUAGAACGUUGCAGAAAACUUGGCUUUACAGCUGCAGCUCUCGCUAACUACCACUCCCUACCCUCGAUUUUUUCUUUGUCUUUUCGGUGAUAUCAGCAGAAAAACUGACAUUUACCUGCUCAUAAAUUACUUUAUUGGUUACCUGGACAACGGGGUAGAUGGAGCCUGACCCAACCAAGGACGUCUAUUCUGUGGGGGCUGCUGGGUGGCUCAUCGUGUUGAGGCGCUGUUGUAGCUCACGGAUGGGCCCCAUGAUCUGCUAUCUAUUAAGGCUCUGUUCUAGUGCUUGGAUUACAUUACAGUACAUUAGUUUUAUUUGGCAGAUGCUUUUCUCCAAAUCAUAGAUGAGCCCCAUGGUCUGGUAUCUGUUAAGGCACUGCUCUAGUGCAUGGAUGGGGCCACAUGGUCUGGUAUCUGGUAAGGCUCUGUUCUAGUGCACAUGCUAAUCAGUGUUAAAGGCCUAUUCCUACUGACCAACAUAAGCUUUUUUAAACAGGUUAAAAAAUGCAAAUUGGAAGUAAACUAAAUAACUAACUAAACAAGAAACAUAGCCUCAAGUAUGGACCUCACUAAUAGCCAAUUUUGAACAGAAUGGAUAUUAAAUUAAGUGUUCCACACCAAUACAGUUUAAACAUAAAAUUAGAUUAAUAAACAGCCUAAAAUAACUUACAAAUAGCAAAGAAAAGCAAUAUAUAUCCUUAAUAAAACAUGUGCCUUUAACAGAUAACAAUAGGCUAAUAUUCAAUAAAAACCUAAUGAAUUGACUCAAAGCAUAAAAAAAAUUACUUCUCUUCUAAUGCAGUCAGCUUGCUCCUAAAAACAAAAGUUUGGCUUGUGAGGUUAAAGCAAAGCUCAUCCAUCAGGCAGGAAAUGACAUCUUGACACAGAUAAGUGCCCUUUUCCACUUCUCUGUGGCUAAACUAACUGCAAGGCUGCUCUACAGCUGUAUACAAACACGCAGAACAUGAACGGGAUGGGAUAUCUUUCAGCCCCAGAGGCCCAGCGCCUGGAUUCACAUCCAUGAUGGAACUGUUCCACAGCGUUGGCAGGUGAGAAAUACAACCGUAUCAAACCAUCCUAUUUUAAGAAGAAUUAUUGUAUGUGACCAAACAAAGACAACAGUUGUAGUGUUCUCCUUCAACAUAAAAAUACUGUAACAGAAUACAGGUUAUGGGUGGAAAAGAGAACUUGAAGCAGAUAAUUGAAAAACUAAACACAGUAAGUUAUCUCAGUGGUACACUUGACUUGAUUUUUCCCCACAAGCUUUCUACCUGAAUCAUUGGUACUUAUUUUGUUAUGUUAACUAUAUUUUUAUUUUUUUAAAUAUGUUUUUCAGGCUUUUUCAGCUUUAUCGGACAGUUCAGUGUUGUUGGACAGGUCAGUACUCAGAGGUGGGAGAGUGAGAUCAUAGAAAACCACAGAAACCAGUGCACUAUUAAUAACAGGGUAUAGCCAUGUGCUGAAAACACUGGAUUUUUCUUUGUAAAUGAUUUUUUUUUAAAUUGAACAAUGUUGAGCUAUCUCCAGUGUUGAGCUGUCUAAAAUAAAGUGCUGGGUUGUGUCUUUUAAAACAGUGUUGGAGCUGUCUGUAAAAUCAAGUGCCGAGCCAUCUCGCCUCCAUACACAGACCUCAACGGGACGAUACACUGUGAAUUGCAAUCAUUUUAUUCACUUCUUCCAGAACAGACCUUGUCACAUUGCAGUAUACUGGUUCUCUUAAUGCUUUCAGUGAUGAGACAAAGUCACUAAAAUUCCACCAAAAGUCAUCGUUUCUUUUUUUCUUUUCUUUUUUUGUCGUUUUUUAAACUACAG